rnacentral:rRNA from 1 species
UACAGAGGGGGCAAGCGUUAUUCGGAAUUAUUGGGCGUAAAGGGCGCGUAGGCGGCUUUGCAAGUGACGGGUGAAAUCCCACGGCUCACCCGUGGAACUGCUUGGUAUACUGGGUGUCUUGAGCCACUUAGGGGCUACCGGAACAAAUGGUGGAGCGGUGAAAUGCGUAGAUAUCAUUUGGAACGCCAAUGGUGAAAACAGGUAGCUGGGAGUGUGCUGACGCUGAGACACGAAAGCCAGGGGAGCAAACGGG